rnacentral:misc_RNA from 1 species
AACGCACCUUGCGCUCCCUGGCAUUCCGGGGAGCAUGUCUGUUUGAGUGUCAUGAACUCUUCAACCCACCAGUUUCUUGUAAACUGAUUGGUGUUUGGAUUCUGAGCGUUGCUGGAUCUUCGGAUCGUAGCUCGUUCGUAAUAUAUUAGCAACUCUAAUUCGAAAUCGGAUUGACUCAGUGUAAUAGACUAUUCGCUGAGGACACUUGCCUUGUGCUGGUGGCCGAAUGAGAUCUCAGUAGAAGCUUCCAACUACAGUAGUCAACUAUAUUUUAGACCUCAGAUCAGUCAGGAUUACCCGCUGAACUUAA